rnacentral:rRNA from 1 species
GACGAACGCUGGCGGCGUGCUUAACACAUGCAAGUCGAACGAAGUGGCGAACGGGUGAGUAAUACGUGGGUAACUGCCCUCCUUUUUGGGAUAAGCCUUGGAAACGGGGUCUAAUACCGAAUAAAGGGGGAUGGCUCGCGGCCUAUCAGCUUGUUGGUGGGGUAGGGCCCUCCCAAGGCGACGACGGGUAGCCGGCCUGAGAGGGCGAACAGCGACAAUGGGCUGAGGUACGGCCCAAACUGCUACGGGGGGCAGCGGUGGCGAAUAUGGUACAAUGGGGGAAACUCUGAGGCAGCAACGUCGCGGGCGGGAGGACGGCCUUCGGGUUGGAAACCGCUUACAGCCAUGACGCGGUAGUGGCAGAAGAAGCACCGGCUAACUACGUGCCAGCAGCCGCGGUAAUUC